rnacentral:rRNA from 1 species
CCUACGGGAUGCAGCAGUGGGGAAUAUUGCACAAUGGGGGAAACCCUGAUGCAGCGACGCCGCGUGAGUGAAGAAGUAAUUCGUUACGUAAAGCUCUAUCAGCAGGGAAGAAACACUGACCUUACGGUCAGCAGACGGUACCUGAGUAAGAAGCCCCGGCUAACAACGUGCCAGCAGCCGCGGUAAUACGUAGGGGGCAAGCGUUAUCCGGUUUUACUGGGGGUAAAGGGAGCGUAGACGGUGCCCCAAGUCUGGCGGGAAAUGCCGCAGCUUAACUGCGGAACUGCUGUGGAAACUGGCGAUGUAGAGUGGGGGAGAGGUAGGCGGAAUUCGGGGUGUAGCGGUGAAAGG